rnacentral:misc_RNA from 1 species
GAUGAAGAACGUAGCGAAAUGCGAUAAGUAAUGUGAAUUGCAGAAUUCAGUGAAUCAUCGAAUCUUUGAACGCACAUUGCGCCCGCCAGCAUUCUGGCGGGCAUGCCUGUUCGAGCGUCAUUUCAACCCUCGAGCCCCCCCGGGGGCCUCGGUGUUGGGGGACGGCACACCAGCCGCCCCCGAAAUGCAGUGGCGACCCCGCCGCAGCCUCCCCUGCGUAGUAGCACACACCUCGCACCGGAGCGCGGAGGCGGUCACGCCGUAAAACGCCCAACUUUCUUAGAGUUGACCUCGGAUCAGGUAGGAAUACCCGCUGAACUUAAGCAUAUCAAUAAGCGAGGA